GCCUGGGUGGCUCUGUCGGUUGAGCGUCUGACUUCAGCUCAGGUCACGAUCUCACGGUUUGUGGGUUCAAGGCCCAUGAUGGGCU
rnacentral:tRNA from 1 species